GCAGGAAAGCAGCCCAGAAUCACUUCACAACAGGUUUCCAAAGGAUCAUCAUUCAUCAGCACAGAAGGGGGGGAAAGAGAAGGCUGUUCAAAUUCUGAAAAGCCAGAGCUGCAAAGGAGGUCAAAGAUGCAGUGUAGUUGGCCCACUCAGUAGAGUUUCUCUAGUGGUUCUGAUGUGGACUGGGGAUUACACGCUGGAUUGAAGUGGCCGGUCUGGAGCAGCUGUAAUUCAUCAUUCGUGCUGACUGCGGACGAGUAAGAGCCCGCGUUGGCCCCGAUCGGCGAUCGCUGGCCAAAGCCCACCACCAGGUUGGUGAUAGGCGUUGGUUGUGAUAUGUAGUGUCGCCUAUGUGUGAAAAGGACAAGUUGAUAACAAAACCUGUUGCGCCAUGUUAUUAACCCGCGCCCGGGUGGCCCUCAGCCAACUUGGUGGUGGUGGUGGGGGGGGGGGGGGAAGGAGGGGAGGCGUAUUCGGCCACACCAGGUUAUCUUGGAAUGUAACAAAGCUGGAAAGACGCAGUAAAAUCAAUAUAUAGCUCGCUAUUUUUCUUCAGAAUCAUACAGGUCAUUUUCGAUCAGGUCAUCGCUAAGGUCACUGGAGGUCACCAAAAGUAAAAUGAUGACGAAUUUUGGCUCCCGAUUUUGACAACUUCAGAAAUUGGUUCAUAACUCGGGAACCAAAGAAGCUACAGCGCCGCGGAAAAGCGAAUUCGAUAGCUCUUUCGAAAAUCUUUCAGAUUCUCAGAUUUGAGCUAAGGUCAACUAGUUUGAGCCUCCAAAGGGCAAAAACUGAACAUUCGGCGUGCUUCGGAAAUCGUCUUUUCUUUUAAAACUUUUGAUACUAACCUUUUAUUACGUUGAUUUUACCGGCACUGCGUUUCUCUCGUUUUGUUGACCUAACAAGGUCAACUUAAUAAAUUUGACCUCAGGUCAAAGUUGCAGAAAAUGCCAUAUUGCAUGUCAGUCGAUUCGUUACAUUGAGAUUGAGAUUAACAUCAGUAGCGGCGGAACACCUUCAAUUGAGGGGGCAUUGCCGAGUUUUGGUCCCAUUCUUUCCAUGCAACGCCCAUAGGGCUAAUGUUAAAAUGCCAGAAUCAAAGGGGGCACUGUGCCCCGGUGCCCUCCCCGUUCCGCCGCCUAUGAUUAUGAUGUUUUUAGCGCUCUGGCCACGUUCCAUCUAAAAUCAAUGUACAAAAAUAAACUGUUGGAGACGUUACAUGACCUGAGAUGACCUCAGGAGCAUACGAUAUAUCCCGAUGUUUGAGUGUUUUUGUUUCAAAAGCAGAGCAUUUCGAGUUCCUCAUACUGACUGAAACUGGAGACGUCGCAAAGUUGACCUGACCCUAGGUCACCGAUAUCAAAAUUAAAGAUAUGUAUUCUGGAUGUUGGUACUGAUUCUCUCAUGCAAUAGCUCGAGUUUCAAACUUCUACGUCAUGGUGACCUGACCUGACCUUAGGUGACAUGGGGUUUGUUACAUUUUUUUCACAAAUGAUGCGAAUCGAUGCAUUAUACAUAAGCUAUACUAAGUUUCGUGUCGUUUUAUUUAUGCAAGCACAAAAUUGUCAGGUGCGGCCAAAAACGCCCCCACCCACCCCACCUGGGGGAACGUUAAAGCAGUGAUAUAUUAUUCGGUGUAUUCCACGAUGCAUCGAUCGGUGUACUUGAUAAUGCAUUAUUUAUUGCUGCGUGUCUACGCUUUUGCUCUGUUCAGUGUGAUCUGUGAUAGGAAAACUACCGACAUAUCUCCACGCGCAUGACUGAAAGAGCUGGCAUGAUCUACAAUAUUGCGUGUCUGUUUUUGUUUGGCAUUUUAUAAAUACUGAGUCAGC
rnacentral:lncRNA from 1 species